GCCCCUUCCCCGCCCUGCCCCGAGCCCGGCCUGAGGGAAAGAUCCUCCGCAUCCCGAGCGCAGAGAUAAGAGGGAAUACUGCAGGCUGACACCUUGAAGAACCAGGCACAGUAUAAAUAGAGAAUGAAAGCCCUUCUCUUCCCCAAGUGCUCACUGUCCAAAUAGCCAAGACAAAGAACAGAACGCUAUGGCUCCUGGAGUCCUGGCCAGCUCCCAGCUCAGAUUUUUAGCCCUUUGGAUAGUUCCUGUUUAAAAGAAGAAAAGAAAAUAACAAAAACCCGGCUGGACUUUGAAGUAUGGCCUGAAACAGAUACAUAUUGCUGGGAGAGAAGCUGCCUUUCCCCAGAGACAUCCAGAGACAGCGUCAUGCCAGCCUCCCCUAUGCAUUAUACCAAAGAAGGAGCUCCACCACUUCGUGUGUCAGGGAGAGUUUUCUCCCAGUUUGCCAUAAGGGGUCUGAACUUGUCCCACUGAUCUCACCAGAUCCCAAAGGGACCCAUCCCUCUGCCAAGUGGAGGUUUCUCAUCUGGCUGUAUCCCCCAAUAAAGAAUUUCAGCUGACCUGAACA
rnacentral:lncRNA from 1 species